rnacentral:rRNA from 1 species
GUUGUAUGGUUAAGUGACUAAGCGUACACGGUGGAUGCCUUGGCAGUCAGAGGCGAUGAAAGACGUAGUAACUUGCGAUAAGCCCAGAUUAGGUAGUAACAACCAUUUGAGUCUGGGAUUUCUGAAUGGGGAAACCCACGUGCAUAAGCACGUAUCCUUACCUGAAUACAUAGGGUAAGGAGGCGAACCGGGGGAACUGAAACAUCUAAGUACCCCGAGGAAAAGAAAUCAACCGAGAUUCCGAAAGUAGCGGCGAGCGAAAUUGGACUAGCCCUUAAGCUUUACACGCGUUAGACGAACGGUCUGGAAAGUCCGACGAUACAGGGUGAUAGUCCCGUAGUUGACGACGUGUGUUCAGUGAAAUCGAGUAGGGCGGGACACGUGAUAUCCUGUCUGAAUAUGGGGGGACCAUCCUCCAAGGCUAAAUACUACUGACUGACCGAUAGUGAACCAGUACCGUGAGGGAAAGGCGAAAAGAACCCCUGUGAGGGGAGUGAAAUAGAACCUGAAACCGUGUACGUACAAGCAGUAGGAGCAGGCUUUGUCCUGUGACUGCGUACCUUUUGUAUAAUGGGUCAGCGACUUAUAUUCAGUGGCAAGGUUAACCAUCUAGGGGAGCCGUAGGGAAACCGAGUCUUAACUGGGCGUUCAGUCUCUGGAUAUAGACCCGAAACCAGGUGAUCUAGCCAUGGGCAGGUUGAAGGUUGAGUAACAUCAACUGGAGGACCGAACCGACUAAUGUUGAAAAAUUAGCGGAUGACUUGUGGCUAGGGGUGAAAGGCCAAUCAAACCUGGAGAUAGCUGGUUCUCCCCGAAAGCUAUUUAGGUAGCGCCUCGGACGAAUACUACUGGGGGUAGAGCACUGUUAAGGCUAGGGGGUCAUCCCGACUUACCAACCCUUUGCAAACUCCGAAUACCAGUAAGUACUAUCCGGGAGACACACGGCGGGUGCUAACGUCCGUCGUGGAGAGGGAAACAACCCAGACCGCCAGCUAAGGUCCCAAAUUACUACUAAGUGGGAAACGAUGUGGGAAGGCUCAGACAGCCAGGAUGUUGGCUUAGAAGCAGCCAUCAUUUAAAGAAAGCGUAAUAGCUCACUGGUCGAGUCGGCCUGCGCGGAAGAUGUAACGGGGCUAAGUAGUAAACCGAAGCUGCGGCAAUAUACUUUUGUAUAUUGGGUAGGGGAGCGUUCUGUAAGCGGUUGAAGGUGUGUGGUAACGCAUGCUGGACGUAUCAGAAGUGCGAAUGCUGACAUGAGUAACGAUAAAGGGGGUGAAAAACCUCCUCGCCGGAAGACCAAGGGUUCCUGUCCAACGUUAAUCGGGGCAGGGUAAGUCGACCCCUAAGGCGAGGCCGAAAGGCGUAGUCGAUGGGAAACGGGUUAAUAUUCCCGUACUUCUUACAAUUGCGAUGGGGGGACGGAGAAGGCUAGGUGGGCCUGGCGACGGUUGUCCAGGUUCAAGUGCGUAGGCUUGAGAGUUAGGUAAAUCCGGCUCUCUUUAAGGCUGAGACACGACGUCGAGCACCUACGGGUGUGAAGUCAUUGAUGCCAUGCUUCCAGGAAAAGCCUCUAAGCUUCAGAUUGUAAGGAAUCGUACCCCAAACCGACACAGGUGGUCGGGUAGAGAAUACCAAGGCGCUUGAGAGAAC